GCUUCUGCUGGUUGGUCCUCGUCUUCGUCCUCUGUUUGGGCCUGGGCUUGGGUUUGGGCCGCAAGAAUGACUUGGAGGCGCUCCCGGAGGCAAGUGGCACAAACGCCGAUGUCGCUGGUUGAAUCCGAUGCGAAAUAGAGAAUUAAAGGGGGAAGAAGAUUUGUGUUGUUGCUGAAUGCUGAGUGAGAGUUUAGGAUGAGAAUGGAAGAGAGAGUAAUAUUUGUGGUUCGAAAUUUGUAGCGAGAGAAGGAGGAAUGAAAAAAAAAAGAACCUACUUGGCCUAAAGGGAAAGGUUGGCGGGGCUAACAGCAAUUUUUAACAAAUAACAAUAUGGAUAAUGGAUAUGGUUAGGGAAAGUUUUUGCUGGAAUACAGCGCCUCUUACGGUGUAUUUUAUUAUUUUAUAAUUUUUUAAUUACUAAUUUUGGUUUUAUGGUUA